rnacentral:tRNA from 1 species
GCCAGCGUAGCUCAAUUGGCAGAGCAGCUGAUUUGUAAUCAGCAGGUUAUCAGUUCAAGUCUGAUCGCUGGCUCCA